rnacentral:rRNA from 1 species
GACAGAGGUGCCGAGCGUUAGGCGGAAUCACUGGGCUUAAAGCGUGUGUAGGCGGACUUCUAAGUACCUUGUGAAAUCCCACGGCUCAACCGUGGAACUGCUUGGUGUACUGGUCGUCUUGAGCCACCUAGGGGCAACCGGAACAAACGGUGGAGCGGUGAAAUGCGUAGAUAUCGUUUGGAACGCCAAUGGUGAAAACAGGUUGCUGGGGGUGUGCUGACGCUGAGACACGAAAGCCAGGGGAGCAAACGGG